CACUUAAAUUUUAAAAAAACGUCGGUGUGUUUUCUCUAAGAAGAGGCUAAAUUGUCCUACAAUAUGUGCAAGCAAACUUUCAACCUAAAAAUGUUACUAUAAACAAAUCAACUUUGAGUAUUUUUUGCAUGAAAUUUCACCUUUAUAAUGGAUAGAUAGACCAUCCAAAGUUGAGUAAAAUUUGUUACUAAGCGACCAGUAUCCGUAAAACAAAUGGUAAGCUUCACCUUUAUAAUGGCUUUACUUUUCUGUUUGCAGUUUGGGGCUAGCUAUCCUUCUUUUUCUCUAUCUAUUUUUGAGGUGAGCAAGCAUCAAACAUUCUAGAUAUGGACGAGCUAUCUUCAAGCAAGUUGCCCUUGCUCUGAUAUGGAAUCUGCGCGCGGGAUGGCCACUCUAUCAUGAUCCAUGCAUUUAUCCCAAACCACACGUGAACCACUGAAAUUUUGAAGGAACAAAACCUUUAGCAUAUAUUGGUGUGGUCCUAUGCAGUCGAUUUAUAAAUUUCUGUAUGAUAUAUCAAACACCCUUGUCUAUGUACAUCUUGUAGUUAGAUGACUCCGUGAAAUGUUUCUAUACAUGUACAUUGAUGCAUUGAUCUGUGAUAUAUGCUUACAUGGAAAAAGGCCAAAAAUUUCUUGUAAAAUGGGAUUCAUUUGCUACAAAGGUUUUCAAUCAAAUAUGUGUGGAAGAAGUGAAUGCUAAAAACAGGCCGCAACACUAUCUGAAUAAUGUAGGAUAUGCAAAUUUGAUUAGAAAAUUUCAUGAAAGAACCAACAGAUUGUACACACAGAUGCAAAUAAAGAAUCGAUGGGAUGCACUAAAGAGGAUGUAUACACAGUGGAAGGCUUUGAAUCAAAGGGCCACUGGUUUGGGCAGGGAUCCUCACAGUGGAUGCAUUACUACUUACAAAUAUUGGCGGGAAAGGCAAAAUGCGGUGAGUGACAUUAAAGACACCUGCAAUUUAGUGCACAUAAAGCAUCACAAUCUUUCUUGUCUUAAGGAUCUAACUGUUCUCUCAUCUUUUCAGGCCAUGCCAGGUUGUAUCAUGUUUAAAGAUGCACACUUGAGCAUGAAGAGAUCUCCAAAUAAUAUUUGAUUCAAUUAUCUGUACAAAUGAGAGCUCAUUUGUACUAGGGAUGACUACUGGAGAUGAACCUACAGAACCUACCGGUGAAGGUGAGGGUGCUGUUGCAGGUGGUGAGGCUGAGGCCUCAAAGAUGGGUCAAAAGGUGAUGAUUUUGAGAACUAUGUUGAUGACAAUGAUGGUGAUGGUAGCACAAGCAUUGCGGAUGAUGGGAACCCUUCAUCAGAUGAUAGGGAUUCUAUUGCUAUGACUUUGGUAGCAUGAUUGGUUGUGUACUUUCUUUUGUAGUUUUCUUUUUUGGAGAGUAAAAUUGUCUGUAAUGUAAAAAAUUAAUGUAAUUAUGACCUUUUGUGCUUUAUUCAGCAACCAAACAAGUUAUUAUCAGCUUCAGGGGCAUACUUGUCAUUGUACACUCAGCGCAUAGAAUCUCCUGACAAAAAAUCAGGUUACCAAACUCCUAGCUUUUCUUACCAGUAAAUUCUAUGGACAUCAGCUUUUCAGGACAGUUUGAUUUCCAGAGAAUCGCUAUCAGAAAAGGUGAAUCAAACAGGGUCUAUGUGUCUUACACACUUUCUUUUGUCUCUUCAUGGAAUCUUAACUCCGCGUAAAAAUUGCAGCUGUAUAUUGUUAACAUGGGAGAGAAGAAACACGAUGAUCCAUCUGUGGUCACCGCUUCGCACCACGAUGCACUCGCAUCUAUUCUUGGAAGGUAGCCUGGCCUAAUAGUUAAACUUGAAGCUGCAACCAUGUUAACCGAAGCAGGUGUGAGUACUCACGUUUUGCUUCUUUUGUUCAUGUUAUUUACGCAACAGCAAGGAUGAAGCUGUGAAAUCCAUAGUUUAUAGUUACAGGCAUGGAUUUUCCAGGUUUGCAGCGAUGCUCACAGACUCCCAAGCCGAGACAAUCAUGAGUAAUAAUAAACAAACAUUUUUGAAAUGAAUGUUCAGGAGAGCUGUCGAUUAUAUUAAAUGACAACCGGUGAAACUAGAACCCUUGACGCAGGUUUACCUGGCGUUGUUAGUGUUGAACCGAUCACUCACUACCAAAUUGGAACAACUCGGAGCUGGGACUUUCUUGGCCUUGACGAUCACCAAUCGCCACCGUCAGGCCUCCUCAAGAAAACAAACUACGGGGAAGGCAUCAUCGUUGGGGUAGUUGACACAGGUUUUUUAUCGCAUUUCGUGCUCAUUUAGUUGAUAAACACAACUGAAAAUGUCAAGACUCAUUUCAUAGGCAUGGCGUGAUUGAUACAUGUAUUACAGGUAUAUGGCCUGAAUCACCAAGCUUUGACGACAGUGGAUACGGUCCGGUGCCAGCGAAGUGGAAAGGUGUGUGCCAGACCGGCGUGAAGUUCAACGCCACCAGCUGCAACCGGAAGAUCAUCGGCGCGCGGUGGUACACCGGCGGCCUCGACGCCAAGGAGCUCUCCGGAGAGUACAGGUCAGCCCGGGACACAGACCCGUACCUAAGUUUACGAGGCUCCGGCACGAAACACAAAAUGGUGGCCCUAUAUGACAGGAGGCACAGCAGAUCAUCCAGAUGAUGGACAUGGACUCACCGGUUUGUAGAAUGAUGCAGCGGUGCAGCCCCUGGGCAAACGCCGGACGGCAACGGGCAACUAGCAGCGGCGGCGCUACUGCGUCCGCAUUGCCGGCGUUGGCCUCGCCUCAGUGCAUAGAUGCCAAUUGAUGGAAUGUGAGGCGUCUCAGAUUCUCUCUCAGUUUUCUGAUGGACCUGACGUGGAAAACGAAAGACAAUUUGCUUGCUUAGUGGGCUAAUGAAGUAAUGAUGACAGCUUUGGGCGGCCCUCGAAUUCUGGCGGCCCGGCGCUGUCGCGCCGUUUGCUCCGCGUGAUGUACGGCGCUGCCGGGACACGACCGGCCACGGCACGUACGUGGCCUCCAUGAUCGCCGGCGGCGAGGUGCGGAACGUGAGCUUCGGCGGGCUGGCCGCCGGCGUGGCGCGCGGUGGGGCGCCGCGCGCUAGGCUGGCCGUCUACAAGGCAUGCUGGAGGACGCCGAGAGCCGACGUGUGCGACGGCGCCGCGCUCCUUUGAAUAACUGAUGAUCAUGGAUUAUCGAUUUCAGGGGCAAUCACGAUACGUCAAUAAUGCAACGGUGAAUAACAGCGACUUCUACACGCUUGUCUAAGCGGGAAGGUAAUGAAAUGAAUCAUUAGUAGUGGUAAUGAAGUGAAUCAUUAGUAGUGGCUUGUCUUAAUUUGCUUAGUAGAGAGGGAUCCCCGUCGUGUUCGUCGCCGGGAACAACGGCCCCGCCGCGCAGACGGUCCGGAACGCCGUGCCGUGGGUCUUGACGGUGGCAGCCAGCACCAUUGAUCGGUCCUUCCCGACCGUGGUGUCGCUUGGGAACAACGAGAAACUAGUGGUGAGUAGGAGAACUACUAGUAUAAUCUUUGAAGCACAUGUUAUUCUCUUGUUUAAUUCAACUGAUGAUCAUGAUUCAUGGAUUAUCGAUUUCAGGUGCAGUCACGAUACGUCGUGAAUUCAACGGUGAAUAACAGCGAUUUCUACACGCUUGUCUACACGCCUGUUUGUUAGGGAAUAGAUCCUAUACACUAUAUGCUAGUGUGCCACAAAAUUUCUACCACGUUUAACCACAAAAUCAUAUGUACUAGAAAUUUUGCGCGCCAAAUUAAGGUAUGGCCAGUGAGUUGAUAACUGCAAAAUGAACGAACAAUACCAUAGUAUAUCAUUACUAUCUUCCAUCUCCAAUUAUCAAAAUGAUAAUACAUAAAUCUUAUACUACAAACUUGUCGAGUAUGGAGAAAUUUAGAUCACAUUAGUUUAUUAGAUCAGUAAAGGAAAUAAGGUUAGAUAAACUGAAAAUUUUAUCACUUGGUCAGACGACAAAAAAUCAAAAAAAAUUGUGGACAUUGAGCGUGGAGCCAAAAAAUUGGGGCGCUUGAGCAGUGCCACCUCUCCCUUAUCUUCUGUCUCCCUCUUAUCUCUUUACUCAUCUUUAUCUCUUUCACCUGCUCUUUCAUCCUCACAUUUCUCUCUCUCUCUUAUCUCCAGGAGCUGCAGCAAACAAGGGCGGCGGACGGCAAGAGCCAUGACUGAGAGGCCGGCCCAAGGGAGCUAGGGCCACGAUGACCGGUGCGGCCGGCAGAUGGAGUGGCUGACACGGGCGGUGGCGCGAAGCGACGUAAGCAACAUCGCCGGGCGGCGGUGAGGCCUCAACAACCAGCAUUUUUUAUUUCCUAAAAAUAUCUUUGCUAGCGGGUUUCUUAAGCACCCGCCAGCCCAAAUCGUGGCUGCACUGGUGGGUAGAUGUUUGUCAGUAAAGAUGACUAUUUGUGCUGGCAGUGAAUUGCUGGUGGAUGGGUUUUGACUGCCACGCCAAAUGUUUUGUGGCAUAGUGCAAUCUGAUUCAUGGAUGCUGGUUUUGAUGUUAGCAUGCUUAAAGUAGGAUCCAAAUCACAAUGGAAGAAUGGUGUGGCAACAAUAAACAAAGAAAAAAGAAGGGUCUAUAACAACAAUAGCAGUUCGUGGUUUCAUUAAUUACACAGACAUACAUGUGAAGGUAGCAAACGAGUGAGAUUUGGCGAAAGACGUGCUUGGCUUACUUACCCUUUUCGUACAUGUGUGUAGUCAAUUUUUUUUUGGUUCAUAUAGCUGACAAUCCAGAUGGGUGCGAGAUAUCCAUGCAUCUUGACUCUCUCUCCAAUUAAUAUAUAUUUUUAACUCCAUUUCUCCUUUUUGUAUGUUAAGGCUUUUUUUACUGCUAUAUCUAAGGUCAGAUCUUUUCUCGUGUGCUGGAACGUUCCAGAUUCUUUCUUCGCUGGUGCGCUGCCAUCCAUUAAUUUAGAAUCUGACGGCUAAUAGUGCCUCCAUGGCAUAUACAUUUCCAGCUCGUCCAGCUAGAGUUCGGGGGUUGCAUCGUGACCUAGCUUGGGUUUCGGCAUGGUGGAAUUACAUAUGUGGUAGGCCGGUACCUCGCUGGUGGGCCUAUCAAAAUUACCCUAGCAAAUUUUUGAUUUUAUAAUAUCCAUUUAGCUAGUUUUAAAGGAGUUUUCCUAGAUUUGUGGUGACAUAAUAUAUCUAUUUAAACCAACUGUUGAAGAUAGUACGUACUGUUACGAGUUUAAUUAUUAGUUCUUGUCCCAGAAAAAAAUCCUCAUCUGUGACAGCUAUUCGCACGACCCAAAUUAAAAACCGGGGCAAAUAGGAUUUAUGGAGCAAAGAGCUAGCUUCGAAGAUGAACCUUUGUGUGCCAGUGAAAGGGAUGGAGUGGCAUCAGGUGGUAAGAAUGUUAGCCCCAGAUACAAAGGUGAUGGCGGGACACACAGCCUGAUCGAUCUUGGAGACUGAGGAAUGUAAUGUGACCAUGUAAUCGAACACGCCUUAGGAAGAGUACCACUAGUUUUAGAAAAUCAAAGAUUUUGACUAGCUGGUCGAAGGAGCGAUGCGUGUGUUCGUCCUUGUCCUGAGGUCUGUUCACUGUCGCUUCCAGGAAGCCAUUGGUGAGGAUAUUGCCGACAGUAAGCGUGACCGGCAGUGGGGUGCUACCGCCAAGGGUUGCCGCAUUCUCAUCCAGAGGUCCCAGCGCCACUUUUCCCGGCAUUAUAAAGGUAACUCUCCAUUUUUUCUAUGCAUCAAAUAGUGCUAUGUUCAGAAGUAUAUAUCUGUGAUCACCAACUUCUUAUUUUGUGAAAAAAAUUCUAAUAAUAUGAAAAUAUGGUCUGAAAAUUAUAUAAAUUGGUAAGGAGUCAUUUUGUGAGUCUACAGACGUGAUAUAAAAGUUUCAAUAUGUUUUACAAAAAUUAGACUCUACAUUAUUCAUAAAUAUAUACUUCGCUAACAAUGUUUCAUAUAACUCAAGUCACACUUUAAACUUGUCAACUAACUUAGCAAAAACAACUAUCAUAUAUAUCCUAAUAUAAUUUUUACAUGUAUAAUACUAUAUAUAUAUAUACACACACACGGUUGUAGAAGAUUCAAUAACUUUAAACUAAUUUAAUUGUCUAAAAAAUAAAAAAAGAGAAAAAUGUAUAUAGAUUUGUGCUGGCGGGCGAUAAUAUCACCCGUCAGCACAGACACAUCACCCACCAGCACGAAAGAUCAAAGAAAUUUGUAUUCCUCCACUUAAAUUUAAAAAAAUAUCGGUGUGUUUUCUCUAAGAAGAGGCUAAAUUGUCAACAAUAUGUGCAAGCAAACUUUCAACCUAAAAAUGUUACUAUAAACAAAUCAACUUUGAGUAUUUUAUGCAUGAAAUUUUACCUUUAUAAUGGAUAGAUAGACCAUCCAAAGUUGAGUAAAAUUUGUUACUAAGCGACCAGUAUCCGUAAAACAAAUGGUAAGCAUCACCUUUAUAAUGACUUUACUGUUUGCAGUUUGGGGCUAGCUAUCCUUCUUUUUCUCUAUCUAUUUUUGAGGUGAGCAAGCAUCAAAUAUUCUAGAUAUGGACGAGCUAUCUUCAAGCAAGUUGCCCUUGCACUGAUAUGGAAUCUGCGCGCGGGAUGGCCACUCUAUCAUGAUCCAUGCAUUUCUCCCAAACCACACGUGAACCACUGAAAUUUUGAAGGAACAAAACCUUUAGCAUAUAUUAGUGUGGUGCACUUCUCUCUUUUUUGCCUUUCUCUCCCCCUCUUUGCUUUGUUAGAUAAAUGGAGGAAUCACCCUUUACUCCUUUAGUUGACUGAUGAAGUGAACGCGAAGGUGACACGGCGACUAUGGGUGCAAUGGAUGAUGCCUGACAGUGAACCAUAUCUCACUAAUCUUUUGUGGUUGUGAUAUUAAAAAGGUGG
rnacentral:lncRNA from 1 species